rnacentral:sRNA from 1 species
UUUUCUUAUAUUCAUAGAAACUUUUCCAUAUUAGGAUUCGACGUACACUUAUUAUAUUUAUAAAUAUAAUAAAUAAAUCCUUUUGAAGGAACCUGAUACCAAUGAUGGAGAUCCUUUAUGUUUGUGAAUUGGAGAACUCUAAAUUGAAAAAAGAGAUCGUCCAAAAACACAAUCGAAGGAAGUUCUGUGAAUGGUUGGACGAAUGAUAGAGAGGGUGUCCGUGACUGAAAGACGAGCCUAGAACGCCAAUCACUUCAAGCUACUAUCUUGUUCGAAGCACCAAAAUAAGAUUUUCUAUUUCGAAGAAUGAAAGUUGUGAGAAGAAAACCCAAAUUUUAGGGAUUAAAUAUCAAGCAACUGAUAGACAGUCACAUAUCCGCUGGAAGAGUAGACGUCUUCCUUCCUUCUCUUCUUCUUGGUUCUGUUAGGGGUUUUGUAGGUAGGGGAUAAGCUUACCGGUGGCUAGGACGCGAACACUUCCACGUGGCACGGUGAAGGUGCGGCAGUGAUGGUGUCCCGGCGGUGCUCUGAGGGGGUCGCAAAAGCUUUCCUCCUUCGAACCAACCCGCAAUGGUGGAUGCGGGUUCAGUUCUGACCGAGCCUAUGUGCGAACGACGUCGCCGUGGUGAGAGAAGACGACGACAAUGCGUCAUGAGUGAUCUCCGGCGACAACACCGAGGGCGAGUGACUGCCUUAUCCGGCGACGACAACGUCAACGACGGGUUGUGAUUGAGAAAUUCUUGACUCUGUGAUUUAGGGUUCCUUUUGUUGUUUGAUUUUGGAGAUUAGGUUUGGCUGAAAUUGGGAAAUUAGGGAUUUUCUUAUGUAAUGGAUAUUGCAAUGUUUGAAUUUGGGAUCUCGAUUUCUGUUUUCGUUUCUGAGC